AUUGAACGCUGGCGGCAUGCUUUACACAUGCAAGUCGAACGGUAACAGGCCUUCGGGUGCUGACGAGUGGCGAACGGGUGAGUAAUGCAUCGGAACGUACCCAGAGGUGGGGGAUAACGCAGCGAAAGCUGUGCUAAUACCGCAUGUGAUCUGAGGAUGAAAGCGGGGGACCGAGCAGCAAUGUUUGGCCUCGCGCCUUUGGAGCGGCCGAUGUCGGAUUAGCUAGUUGGUGGGGUAAAGGCCUACCAAGGCGACGAUCCGUAGCUGGUCUGAGAGGACGACCAGCCACACUGGAGCUGAGACACGGCCCAGACUCCUACGGGAGGCAGCAGUGGGGAAUAUUGGACAAUGGGCGCAAGCCUGAUCCAGCAAUGCCGCGUGCGGGAAGAAGGCCUUCGGGUUGUAAACCGCUUUUGGCAGGAACGAAACGGUGUCCGCUAAUACCGGGCGCUAAUGACGGUACCUGCAGAAUAAGCACCGGCUAACUACGUG
rnacentral:rRNA from 1 species